UACGGAGGAUGCGAGCGUUAUCCGGAUUUAUUGGGUUUAAAGGGUGCGCAGGCGGAUUUUUAAGUCAGCGGUCAAAUCGUGGGGCUCAGCCCCAUCCAGCCGUUGAAACUGGGGAUCUAGAGUGUGCGAGAGGUAUGCGGAAUGCGUGGUGUAGCGGUGAAAUGCAUAGAUAUCACGCAGAACCCCGAUUGCGAAGGCAGCAUACCGGUGCACAACUGACGCUCAGGCACGAAAGCGUGGGUAUCGAACAGG
rnacentral:rRNA from 1 species